GAUAUCCGAGUUCCCGUACGAUCACUGAGGUUAAGCAACAUCGUGCAUCGUCAGUACCUAGAUGAGGGAUUGCUUGGGAAAACCAGGUGUUGUAA